UGGGGGAUAUUGCACAAUGGGCGAAAGCCUGAUGCAGCGACGCCGCGUGGGGGAUGAAGGCCUUCGGGUUGUAAACUUCUUUUGCUCUGAACAAGGCAUGCCUUUGGGGUGUGUUGAGUGUAGGGGUUGAUUAGCGCCGGCUAACUACGUGCCAGCAGCCGCGGUAAUACGUAGGGCGCGAGCGUUGUCCGGAAUUAUUGGGCGUAAAGGGCUUGUAGGUGGCUGGUUGCGUCUGUCGUGAAAGCUCAUGGCUUAACUGUGGGUUUGCGGUGGGUCCGGGCUGGCUUGAGUGCAGUAGGGGAGGGUGGAAUUCCUGGUGUAGCGGUAGAAUGCGCAGCUCUCAGGAGGAAUACCGGUGGCGAAGGCGGUUCUCUGCGCUGUUACUGCCGCUGAGGAGCGAAAGCGUGGGAACCGAACAGG
rnacentral:rRNA from 1 species